rnacentral:misc_RNA from 1 species
UCAAACUUGGUCAUUUAGAGGAAGUAAAAGUCGUAACAAGGUUUCCGUAGGUGAACCUGCGGAAGGAUCAUUAUUGAAUAAACUUGGUUAGAUUGUCUGCUGGCUUUGAGAAGCAUGUGCACAUCUAAUCCAUUUUUUUUAAUCCUCUGUGCACAUUAUGUAGACCUGCAUAAUGUUCAAGCCAGUAUGGGCUUGGUAUAGAAACUGCUGUGUUGCAUCUAUAUGAGCCGGCUUUUUCUUUUGUGUCAGGUCUAUGUUUUAUAUAAUUUCCUAUUAAAAUUUGGCAUGGCAUUUUGAAAUGAUAAUACAACUUUCAACAAUGGAUCUCUUGGCUCUCGCAUCGAUGAAGAACGCAGC